rnacentral:rRNA from 1 species
GUCAAGCGAAUAAGGGUCCACGGAGGAUGCCUUGGAGCCGCCAGACGAAGAAGGACGUGACUAGCUGCGAAAAGCCGGGGGUAGGAGCCAAUAUCCGACGAUCCCCGGGUGUCCGAAUGGGGUAACCCGAAUGUCUGGAUGACAUUGACCUGCACGUGAAUCAGAUAGCGUGCAGGGGAUAGACGCUGGGAAGUGAACCAUCUAAGUACCAGCAGGAAAGGAAAUCAAAACGAGAUUCCCUCAGUAGCGGCGAGCGAACGGGGAAGAGCCUAAACCGGCGGCGUGCCAAGCCCGUGUGCGUUGCGUCGCCGGUGUUGCGGGAACCGCAGGCGGAGGAUACGGACUCCGCGUCAGGUUAGAAACCGAGUCGUUAUGGGAAGGAUCUGGGAAGGUCCGCCGGAGAGGGUGAAAGCCCCGUAGCUUAAAGCGAGUCGGCCUGAUGUGCGGGAAUCCCGAGUACGCCGGGACACGAGGAAUCCUGGCGGAAUCUGGGGGGACCACCCUCCAAGGCUAAAUACUUGGCGGCUACCGAUAGCGCAUAGUACCGUGAGGGAAAGGUGAAAAGAACCCCGGGAGGGGAGUGAAAGAGAACCUGAAACCGUGGACCUUCAAGCGGUCAGAGCCCGCAAGGGUGAUGGCGUGCCUUUUGUAGAAUGAGCCUGCGAGUUACCGUAUGCAGCGAGGUUAAGGCAUAGGAGUGCCGGAGCCGUAGGGAAACCGAGUCUGAACAGGGCGCACAGUUGCAUGCGGUAGACCCGAAGCCAAGUGAUCUAUCCGCGGCCAGGCUGAAGCUGGAGUAGAAUCCAGUGGAGGGCCGAACCUAAAUCCGCUGAAAAGGGUUGGGAUGAGCUGUGGAUCGGAGCGAAAGACUAAACAAACUUGGAGAUAGCUGGUACUCCCCGAAAUAGCUUUAGGGCUAGCCUCGGACGGACAGCCAUGGAGGUAAAGCACUGGAUGGAUGAGGGUCCUUCACCGGAUACCGAUUUCAACCAAACUCAGAAUGCCAUGGCCCAAUAUCCGGGAGUCAGACGGCGACUGAUAAGGGCCGUCGUCAAAAGGGAAACAGCCCAGACCGUCGGCUAAGGUCCCAAAUGUGUGCCAAGUGGGAAAGGAAGUAUGAUUGCGGAGACAGCCAGGAGGUUGGCUCAGAAGCAGCCACUCCUUCAAAGAGUGCGUAACAGCUCACUGGUCGAGUAGUCGUGCGCCGAUAAUUCAACGGGGCUAAGCACACAACCGAAGCCACGGCACUGCAGCAAUGCAGUGGGUAGGGGAGCAUUCCAUGUACGGACGAAGGUGCGGCGCAAGCCGUGCUGGACGGGAUGGAAGAGAGAAUGCAGGCAUGAGUAACGUAAAGAUGGGUGGGAUCCCCAUCCGCCGAAAGCCUAAGGUUUCCAGGGUAAAGGUAAUCUACCCAAGGGUCAGUCGGCCCCUAAGGCCAGGUCGAAAGACGUAGCCGACGGGAAACGGGUCAACAUUCCCGUACCUCUUGAUGAUUCGAUGGAAUGACGCAUAGGGUGAAGCACAGCGGGGCGACGGUCGUCCCCGUCCAAGCGUUUAGGUGUUGAGGAGAGCAGGCAAAUCCACUCUCCGAGCCGAGACGCGAAUGCGAGUGAACCUACGGGGGAUCGAAGUGUGUGACAUCGUCGUGCCGGGAAACAAUUCCUAAGUCAUGUCGUCAAGGGACCGUACUAUAAACCGACACAGGUGGGCGAGCUGAGAAUGCGAAGGCGUACGGAAGAACUCGCGUUAAGGAACUCGGCAAAAUGCAUACGUAACUUCGGAAUAAGUAUGGCCGUGAGAGCGGCUGCAGAGAAAUGGCCCAUGCGACUGUUUACCAAAAACACAGGUCUAUGCGAACCAGCAAUGGGAAGUAUAUGGACUGACACCUGCCCGGUGCUGGAAGGUUAAGGGGAGUUGUUCACGCAGCGAACCGAAGCCCCAGUAAACGGCGGCCGUAACUAUAACGGUCCUAAGGUAGCGAAAUUCCUUGUCGGGUAAGUUCCGACCCGCACGAAUGGUGUAACGAAAUUGAAGUCCAGGUGAAGAUGCCUGGUACCUGUGGUUAGACGGAAAGACCCCGUGAACCUUUACUUCAACUUAGCAUUGAUGAUUGGACCUUCUUGUGUAGGAUAGGUGGGAGGCAUUGAAGCGUGGGCGUCAGCCUGUGUGGAGCCGUUGGUGAAAUACCACCCUGGAAGGUUCAGUCCUCUAACCCUCGCCGUGAUCCGGUGCGGGGACAAUGCUAGGCGGGAAGUUUGACUGGGGCGGUCGCCUCCCAAAGAGUAACGGAGGCGCGCGAAGGUCACCUUAGCCUGGUUGGGAAUCAGGCGUCAAGUGUAAAGGCACAAGGUGGCUUGACUGCGAGACUCACAAGUCGAGCAGGUACGAAAGUAGGUCUUAGUGAUCUGGCGGUGGCAAGUGGAAGCGCCGUCACUUAACGGAUAAAAGGUACUCCGGGGAUAACAGGCUGAUCUUGCCCAAGAGUUCAUAUCGACGGCAAGGUUUGGCACCUCGAUGCGCCAAUUAAAGCGGUACGCGAGCUGGGUUCAGAACGUCGUGAGACAGUUCGGUCCCUAUCUGCCACAGGCGUUGGAUGUCUGAGAGGUCCUGCUUUUAGUACGAGAGGACCAAAGUGGACGGACCUCUGGUGUAUCUGUCAUCGUGCCAACGGUGAUUGCAGAGUAGCCACGUCCGGAAGGGAUAAACGCUGAAAGCAUCUAAGUGUGAAACCCCCCUCAAGAUGAGACAUCCCUGACUUUAAGUCAAUAAGGAACCAGAGAGACUAUCUGGUUGAUAGGCCGCGGAUGCAAGCGCAGCAAUGUGUUCAGUCCAGCGGUACUAAUCAUCCGAACGGCUUGACC